ensembl:lncRNA novel transcript
AGAAAGGUCCGGGGUAUUGUUGAAAAGGUCGGAAGGACCAAGAUUAUGUCCGCCAGCCUAAGUGGGACGAACAACCAAGUUGUGCGAUGCAGCUUUAAAGGGGCUGGUGAUUGACAGAAUGGUGUAGUAGUAGAUGGGGUGGAGCCGCUGGGUGGGGUCGAGACUGGCAGCUGAGAGAUACCAAAAGGAAGAAAAAAGAAAACCAUUGCUCUUGAUAUUGCUAAUGCCGGGGGAGAGAUGUGGUUGGAGCUGGAAGCUGUUAUCCUCAGCAAACUAAUGCAGGAGGAGAAAACCAAAUACUGCAAGUUCUCACUUAUAAGUGGGAACUGAAUGAUGAGAACAUUUGGACAUGAAGCUGGGCAGAGAAAUCGAGCUGCAAAAUGACCUACAGAUAUUACAGUUUUAUUCUUGGAAAAUGGAGGUUGUCUAUUAGUGUGAUGGUAACAACCAACUAAUAAAAUUUGGAGACUAGACUGCUUGUCAUGUCUGGGGUUCACUGGAAAUCAAUGAUUCACUGGAACAAUUCUCCUGUCAAAAAAAAUGUGAGGUUUGUAACUUGCCCUAAGUAUAACAAGGGAUAUAUUUUAACAAAGGAUGUAUUUUUUCUUAAGAAGCAACCAUUUCUCAGCUUAUACAUAAUAGCAAUAAUAAAGUCUUUGACCCUAUUAAUGAUUUUCUUAUUUAAUCUUGAUUUUUACAGUUCAUCACUGCAUUUCAUUAUGGGAAGAUUUAAAUAUUAAAUAGAAACUAGCUAGCUUAAUAAAAUCUGAACACAGUUAAUGUCUGUCAUAAUGCUCAUUUUAAUACAUUUCUAUCCUUCAUUCUGUUGAUAUUAUGUAUCAUAUUGAUUGAUUUGCACACAAUUCACCAUCAUUGCAUCCCAGGGAUUGCACUUGGUCAUGAUGAAGGAUCUUUCUAAUGUAUUGUUGAAUUUGGUUUGCUCAUAGUUUGUUGAGGAUUUUUGCAUCAAUAUUCAUUAGAGAUAUUGGCCUGUAAUUUUUUUAUAUGUCUUUGUCUGCUUUUGGAAUCAGGGCAAUACUAGCCUUGUGGAAUGAAUUUUAAAGUAUUCCCUUUUCACCUAUUUUUUCUGAAUAAUUUGAGUAGGAUUGGUGUUAGAUCUUCUUUAAAUGUUUGGUGGAAUUCACCAGUGAAGCCACUGGGUCCCAGGAUUUUCUUUACUGGGAGACUUUUUAAUACAGCUUCCAUCUCAUGACUUAUUAUUCAUCUGUUUGUGUUUUGGAUUUUGUAUUAGUCUGUUUUCAGGCUGCUAAUAAAGACAUACCCAAGACUGGAUAACUUAUAAAGGAAAGAGGUUUAAUUGACUCACAGUUCCACAUGGCUGGGGAGACCUCACAAUCAUGGUGGAAGGCUAAUGAGGAGCAAAGUCACGUCUUACAUAACAGCAGGCAAGUGAGCUUGUGCAGGGGAACUCCCACUUAUAAAACCAUCAGAUCUCAUGAGACUUAUUUACUACCAUGAGAACAGUGUAGGGGAAACCACCCCUAUGAUUCAAUUAUCUCCACCUAGCCCUUCCCUUGACACAUGGGGAUUAUUACAAUUCGAGGUGAGAUUUGGGUGGGGACACAGCCAAACCAUACCAUCCCACCCCUGGUUCCUUUCACAUCUCAUGUCCUCAUAUUUCAAAAUCAGUCAUGCCUUCACAACAGUCCCCCAAAAUCUUAAAUCAUUUUAGUGUUAACUCAAAAGUCCACAGUCCAAGGUCUUAUCUGAGACAAGGCAAGUCCCUUCCACCUAUGAGCCUGUAAAAUCAAAAGCUAGUUAGUUACUUCCUAGAUACAAUGGGAGUACGGGCAUUGGAUAAAUAAACCUAUUCAAAAUGGGAGAAAUUUGCCAAAACAAAUGGGCUACAGACCUCAUGAAAGUCCAAAAUCCAAUGGGGCAGUCAAAUGUUAAAGCUCCAAAAUGAUCUCCUUUGAUUCCAUGUCUCACAUCCAGGUUAUGCUGAUGCAAGAGGUGGACUCUCAUGGCCUUGGGCAUCCCUGCCACUGUGGCUUCUUAGGGUACAGCCUCCCUCCUGGCUGCUUUCAUGGACUGGUGUUGUGCCUGUAGCUUUUCCAGGUGCAUUGUGCAAGAUGUUGGUGAAUCUACCAUUCUGAUGUCUGGAGGACGGUGGCCCUCUUGUCAUAGCUCCACUAGGCAGUGCUCCAGAUGGGACUCUGUGUGGGGCCCCAACCCCACAUUUCCCUUCCACACUGCCCUAGCAGAGUUACAUGAGGGCUCUACCCCUGCAGCAAACUUCUGCCUGGACAUCCAAGCAUUUCCAUACAUCCUCUUAAAUCUAGGCAGAGGUUCCCAAAUGUCAGUUCUUGAUUUCUGUGCACCCACCGGCCCAAAACCACAUGGAAGCUGCCAAGGCUUGGGGCUUGAACCCUCUGAGGCAACAUCCUGAGCUAGAGCUCAACAUAGAUGUUGGCCCCUUCUAGCCAUGGCUGGGACACAAUGCAUCAAGUCCCGAGACUGCACAAAGCAGCAAGGCCCUGGGCCCAGCCCAUGAUAUUAUUUUUUUCCUUUUAGGCCUCCAGGCCUGUGAUGGGAGGGGCUGCUGUGAAGACCUCUGACAUGCCCUGGAGACAUUUUCCCCAUUGUAUUGGCAAUUAACAUUUGGUUUCUUGUUACUUGUGCAAAUUUCUGCAGCUGGCUUGAAUUUCUCCUCAGAAAAUGGGUUUUUCUUUUUUAUUGCAUCAUCAGGCUGCAAAUUUUUCAAAAUUUUAUGCUCUGCUUCCCUUUUAAACAUAAGUUCCAAUUGCAAACCAUAUCUUUGUGAAUACAUAAAACUUAAUGCUUUUAACAGUACUGAAGUCGCAUCUUGAACACUUUGCUGCUUAGAAAUUUCUACUACCAGAUGCCCUAUAUCAUCUUUCUCAAUUUCAAAGUUCCACAGAUCUCUAGGACAGGGGGAAAAUGCCACCAGUCUCUUUGCUAAAGCAUAACAAGAGUCACCUUUGCUCUAGUUCUCAUAUCCAUCUGAGACCAACUGGGCUUGGACUUUAUUGCCCAUAUCACUAUCAGCAUUUUGGUCAAAGCCAUUUAACAAGUCUCUAGGAAGUUUCAAACUUUCCCACAUUUUGCUGUCUUCUUCUGAUUCCUCCAAGCUGUUGCCACCUCUGCUUGUUACCCAGUUCGAAAGUUGCUUCCACAUUUUUGGGUAUCUUUACAGCCACACCCCACUCUACCAAUACCAGUUUACUGUAUUAGUCUGUUCUCAUGCUGCUUACAAAGACAUACCCAAGACUGGGUAAUUUAUAAAGAAAAGAAGUUUAAUUGACUCACAGUUCCACAUGGCUGGGGAAGCCUCACAAUCAUGGCAGAAGGUGAAUGAGGAGCAAAGUCACGUCUUACAUCGUGGUAGGCAAGAGAGCUUGUACAGUGGAACUCCCAUUUAUAAAACCAUCAGAUCUUAGGCGUAUUAUUCACUAUCACAAGAACAGUAUGGGGGAAACUGGCCCCAUGAUUCAAUUAUAUCCACAUAGUCCUGCCCUUGACACAUGGGGAUUAUUACAAUUCAAAGUGAGAUUUGAGUGAAGACACAGCUAAACCAUAUCAGAUUUAUUUAUGGUUCAAUCUUGGUAGUUUGUAUGUGUCUAGGAAUUUGUCCAUUUCUUCCAGACUCUCCAAUUUAUUGGCAUAUAUUUGCUCAUAAUAGCCACUAAUGAUCCUUAGAAUUUCUGCAGUAUCAGUUCUAAUGUCUCCUUUUUCAUUUCUGAUUUUAUUUAUUUGGGUCUUAUUUCUUUUUUUCCUCAUCUGGCUAAAGGUUUGUCAAUUUUGUUUAACUUUUUAAAAAGCUAACUUUUUGUUUCACUGCUUUUUUAUGCUUUAAUUUUAAUUUGAUUUAUUUCUGCUCUAAUCCUUAUUUUUUUUCUACUAAGUUCUGGUUUGGUUUGCUCUUGCUUUUCUAGUUAUUUAAGAUCCAUUAUUAGAUUGUUUAUUUGAAGAUUUUCUUGUUUUUUCAUGUGAGCACUUAUAGCUGUAAACUUCCCUAUUAUACUGCUUUUGCUGUAUCCCAUAGGUUUUGGUAUGUUGUGUUUCCAUUAUCAUUUGUUCUAAGAAAUUUUUCAAUUUUAAAUUUUUCAUUGAUUCACUGAUCAUUGAAGAGCAUAUUUUUUAAUUUCCAUGUAGUUGCACAGUUCCAAACUUCCUCUUUUCAAUAAUUUCUACAUUCAUUCCAUUGUGUUCAGAGAAAAUACUUGAUAUUAUUUUAAUUUUUAAAAAAAUUUUUAAGACUUGCAUGUGAUCUAACAUAUGGUCUAUCCUUGAGAAUUUUCCACGUGCUAAAGAAUAAAAAUGUUUAUUCUGCAGCUCUUGAAUAAAAUAUUCUGUAAAUAUCUAUUAAAUCCAUGUGGUCUACAGUGCAGAUUAAGUCUGCUGUUUCCUUGUUGAUUUUCCGUCUAGAAGAUCUGGCCAAUCCUGAAAGGGGAGUGUUGAAGUCUCCAGCUAUGAUUGCAUUGGGGUCUUUCUCUUUAGCUCUAAUAUUUCCUUUAUAUAUCUGUUUGCUGUCGUGUUGGGUGCAAAUGUAUUUAAAAUUGUUAUAUCUUCUUGCUGAAUUGACCCCUUUAUCAUUAUAUACUUACAUUCUUUAUCUCUUCUUAUAGUUUUUGUCUUGAAAUCUAUUUUGUCUGAUAUUAAUAUAGUU